rnacentral:rRNA from 1 species
UCAAGCUACAAAGAGCACAAGGGGAAUGCCUUGGCACCGAGAGCCGAAGAAGGACGUGACUAACUGCGAUAAGCUACGGGGAGCUGUAAGUGAGCGUUAUAUCCGUAGAUUUCCGAAUGGAGCAAUCCGAUUAGAGGAAAGUCUAAUCAUCAUAUACUGAAUACAUAGGUAUAUGAGGGGAACCGCCUGAACUGAAACAUCUAAGUAGGGCGAGGAAGAGAAAUCAACUGAGAUUCCGUAAGUAGUGGCGAGCGAACGCGGAAGAGGCCAAACCUAAUGUAGUAAUAUGUUAGGGGUUCGGACAGUAUAAUGAAUUGUCGAGAUUUAGCCGAAUGUCAUGGGAAGGGCAAUCAAAGAUGGUGAAAAUCCAGUAGGCGAAAAGUUAAGACAUCAGACUGUAUCCAGAGUACCGCCGGACACGUGAAACCCGGUGGGAAUACGGGGGGACCAUCCUCCAAGCCUAAAUACUACUCGGUGACCGAUAGAGAAGAAGUACUGUGAAGGAAAGGUGAAAAGCACCCCGGAAGGGGAGUGAAAGAGAACCUGAAACCUUGUGUUUACAAGCACCGAAAGUUCAUCAACGAACGAUCGGGUACCUUUUGUAGAAUGGUCCGGCGAGUGAAUGUAACUGGCAAGGUUAAGCACUUAAGGUGUGAAGCCGUAGCGAGAGCGAGUCUGAAAAGGGCGCAUGAAGUCAGUUGUAUUCGACCCGAAACCGGGUGACCUACCCAUGUCCAGGCUGAAGUGCAGGUAAAACUUCAUGGAGGGCCGAACCGACUCCCGUUGAAAUGGUAGCGGAUGAGGUGUGGGUAGCGGAGAAAUUCCAAUCGAACCCGGAGAUAGCUGGUUCUCUCCGAAAUAGCUUUAGGGCUAGCCUUGGAAUAGAUUACUGGAGGUAAAGCACUGAAUUGGCUAGGGGCCGAGAGGUUACUGAACCUUAUCAAACUAAGAAUGCCAGAUAAUCGUUUUCCAGGAGUCAGACAGUGGGAGAUAAGUUUCAUUGUCAAAAGGGAAACAGCCCAGACCUACAGCUAAGGUCCCAAAGUAUAGUUAAGUGGAAAAGGAUGUGGAAUUGCAUAGACAACCAGGAUGUUGGCUUAGAAGCAGCCACUCAUUAAAAGAGUGCGUAAUAGCUCACUGGUCGAGUGAUUCUGCGCCGAAAAUUUAACGGGGCUAAACUAUACACCGAAGCUUAGGAUACCGCAAGGUAUGGUAGGAGAGCGUUCUGUACGGAGUGAAGUCGUAGCGAAAGCGGCGGUGGACUGUACAGAAGUGAGAAUGCCGGAAUAAGUAGCGAGAAUUAAGUGAGAAUCUUAAUGGCCGAAAGUCUAAGGUUUUUGGAGGAAGGUUCGUCCGCUCCAAGUAAGUCGGGAGCUAAGGUCAGGCCGAAAGGCGUAGCCGAUGCACAAACGGUUGAUAUUCCGUUACCGUCUACAAUUUAAACAAAGGGACACAUACAAAGCGUUUAACCCGGGCGAUGGUUGACCCGGGCGCAAGGGACUGAAAUAAGAGUAGGGAAGUAAAUGUGGCGUAUGGCGAGAAAAGCUUUGUGAAUAGAAGUAGACGCCCGUACCGCAAACCGACACAGGUGGACAGGAAGAGAAUUCUAAGGCCAGCGGGAGAAGGGUAGUUAAGGAACUCGGCAAAUUGACUCCGUAACUUCGGAAUAAGGAGUGCUCGAAAGAGCCGCAGAGAAUAGGCCCAGGCGACUGUUUAGCAAAAACACAGGUCUCUGCCAAAUCGAAAGAUGAAGUAUAGGGGCUGACACCUGCCCGGUGCCGGAAGGUUAAGAGGAGGAGUGCAAGCUCCGAAUUGAAGCCCCGGUAAACGGCGGCCGUAACUAUAACGGUCCUAAGGUAGCGAAAUUCCUUGUCGGGUAAGUUCCG